rnacentral:rRNA from 1 species
UACGUAGGGGGCAAGCGUUGUCCGGAAUCAUUGGGCGUAAAGCGCGCGUAGGCGGCCCUGUAAGUCCGUUGUGAAAGUCAAAGGCUCAACCUUUGAAAGCCGAUGGAUACUGCAGGGCUAGAGUCCGGAAGAGGCGAGUGGAAUUCCUGGUGUAGCGGUGAAAUGCGUAGAUAUCGUAAGGAAGACCAGUGGCGAAGGCGGGUCUCUGGACAGUUCCUGACGCUGAGGCACGAAGGCCAGGGGAGCAAACGGG